rnacentral:misc_RNA from 1 species
AACGCACGAGACCUGCGGACCUGCGGAAGGAUCAUUACCGAGUGCGGGCCCUCUGGGUCCAACCUCCCACCCGUGUCUCUUGUAUACCCUGUUGCUUUGGCGGGCCCACCGGGGCAACCCGGUCGCCGGGGGGCGUCAUGCCCCCGGGCCCGCGCCCGCCAGAGCGCCUUAUGAACCCUCAUGAAGAAGGACUGUCUGAGUACCUUGAUAAUGAAUCAAAACUUUUAACAACGGAUCUCU